CUCAAAGGGGGGCGGUUCGCAGGGGAGCCCCCUCGCUUUCUGUCGCACCGCAGCCAUUGUGCGAGUGUCAAAGGAGCAUCCCUCUCAUCUCUCAGAUUGAUGGCAUCGUCUAGGACUUCCAGCAUAGACAAGAUAAACUAAAGGCUUCUGCAGACAGAUGAACAUAAAGCUGGUGAUGCCAAUCCUGAAACCCAGAUGCCAUCUGAAAUCCUGGUAGUGUCUGACUGUGCCUGAAGAAGCAGGGCAGGAGCUGGCACAGGCACAUCCCUGUAGCUGCUGAGACCAGAGCCCUGAUCUCCCCAUGUAUGAGCAUAACCUUCACUGUAUGAGCAGAAAACCAGAGACUGAAAAGCUCUAUAGAGACAGUGGGAAAAGAAGGAAAAAGGAGGGGUUGUAGAGAGGGAGGGAAGGAGAAAGAAAGAAAGAAAGAAAGAAAGAAAGAAAGAAAGAAAGAAAGAAAGAAAGAAAGAAAGAAAGAAAGAAAGAAAGAAAGAAAGAAAGAAAGAAAGAAAGAAAACAGAGAGAAGAGGAGAGAAGAGGAGAGAAGAGAAGAGAAGAGAAGAGAAGAGAAGAGAAGAGAAGAGAAGAGAAGAGAAGAGAAGAGAAGAGAAGAGAAGAGAAGAGAAGAGAAGAGAAGAGAAGAGAAGAGAAGAGAAGAGAAGAGAAGGAUAUGCUCCGAGGUUGUUAAUAGGGCAUUAUGAAAGGUAGUUAGAAAAUAUACCGGGCUGAGAAAACAAAGCCCUUGGACUUCCUGAUGCAUUUCUCGAUGUCUAGAGAGGAAUCUAUUACAAAAACAGAGACUACAGGACAAGACUCUGAUCAGGAGAUCAGAUAGAAGAGGAAACGUGAAAUUUUCCCAGGAAGGAAAGCAGGAGCUGACUAGAGAGAGAAGAGGGAAACCCUGAUGACUAUGAAGCAACAUACAGUAUAAAUUCAAGCUCUGAAGUGUCCAGGCAUUCUUCCUAAUUAUUCCAGUUUAGCUGAUUUACUUCUGUUUGAAAAAUAUUACAGAUGAUCAAUGAGUGAACUCUCAGAGGGACUGAUGGCUGGUCAUUGCAAAUGUGUUGUUUUAUUGAACUCAUCUGACCUCAUGUAUAAGGUAGAACCAUCAAAACGUAUAUUCUCUCCUCUCAUGUUUUGCUGUUCUUUUUCCCCCUUUUGGUGCUAUCCCAGAGAAGUGAAAAAAUUCUCUUUCCCUUUCAAAUAUGCAUGCCCUGACCUUUGUAAUUAAAAAUCUUGUUUCUGAGCUUUGGAUUUCUACUGUAGUUUUUCAGAAUUUUUUAAUCUCAUCUCCCUCACUGACAACAGAUUCGCCCAGGGGAGAUUUUUAUUUAUUUACAUUUCUAAUUCAUUGUUCCUCUUCCCUUUCUGAAUGCAAAUUCAGAAAGCCAAACAGCUCUUACUGCCUACCUAUUGGAAUGUGAAAUCCCAUUUAAUCUGCACAGUUGCACAGAAUCAUUGUACUUUAAGAUAGCAAGGGUGUAUCUCUGUUUCCAUGUCUGCAUCCAUCCUCAUAAUCUCUGUUUCUGUACAAAACAUACAUACGCACUUUUCCAGUGCUUUUGAAAUGUGUUUCAUCUUAUGAAUUACACAAUGAGGAAGUAAAACAACAGUGUGGUGUAGUCUUGUACUGCCUUCUUGUGCACCCUGUGGCACACACAGAGAACUGUGUAGGGAAAG